rnacentral:tRNA from 1 species
GGGGCUGUAGCUCAGUGGCAGAGCACUUGCCUAGCAUGCAUGAAGCUCUAGGUCCAAUCCUCAAUGCCA